UCUAGUAUAAGCAAUUAUACAGCGAAACUGCGAAUGGCUCAUUAAAUCAGUUAUCGUUUAUUUGAUAGUACCUUACUACAUGGAUAACCGUGGUAAUUCUAGAGCUAAUACAUGCUAAAAAUCCCGACUUCGGAAGGGAUGUAUUUAUUAGAUUAAAAACCAAUGCCCUUCGGGGCUCUCUGGUGAUUCAUAAUAACUUCUCGAAUCGCACGGCCUUGCGCCGGCGAUGGUUCAUUCAAAUUUCUGCCCUAUCAACUUUCGACGGCUGGGUCUUGGCCAGCCAUGGUGACAACGGGUAACGGAGGGUUAGGGCUCGACCCCGGAGAAGGAGCCUGAGAAACGGCUACUACAUCCAAGGAAGGCAGCAGGCGCGCAAAUUACCCAAUCCCGACACGGGGAGGUAGUGACAAUAAAUACUGAUACAGGGCUCUUUUGGGUCUUGUAAUUGGAAUGAGUACAAUUUAAAUCCCUUAACGAGGAACAAUUGGAGGGCAAGUCUGGUGCCAGCAGCCGCGGUAAUUCCAGCUCCAAUAGCGUAUAUUAAAGUUGUUGAGGUUAAAAAGCUCGUAGUUGAACCUUGGGCCUAGCCGGCCGGUCCGCCUCACCGCGUGCACUGGCUCGGCUG
rnacentral:rRNA from 1 species